AUUGAACGCUGGCGGCAGGCUUAACAUAUGCAAGUCGAGCGGAGAUGAGGUGCUUGCACCUUAUCUUAGCGGCGGACGGGUGAGUAAUGCUUAGGAAUCUGCCUAUUAGUGGGGGACAACAUUCCGAAAGGCAUGCUAAUACCGCAUACGCCCUACGGGGGAAAGCAGGGGAUCUUCGGACCUUGCGCUAAUAGAUGAGCCUAAGUCGGAUUAGCUAGUUGGUGGGGUAAAGGCCUACCAAGGCGACGAUCUGUAGCGGGUCUGAGAGGAUGAUCCGCCACACUGGGACUGAGACACGGCCCAGACUCCUACGGGAGGCAGCAGUGGGGAAUAUUGGACAAUGGGCGGAAGCCUGAUCCAGCCAUGCCGCGUGUGUGAAGAAGGCCUUUUGGUUGUAAAGCACUUUAAGCGAGGAGGAGGCUACCUGGAUUAAUACUCUAGGAUAGUGGACGUUACUCGCAGAAUAAGCACCGGCUAACUCUGUGCCAGCCGCCGCCGUAAUAC
rnacentral:rRNA from 1 species